ensembl:lncRNA
GAAUGGGUCCUCUUAUUCUUCAAGUAGACGAGGACAGGAGCUGCAGAGCAGUUUUCUGCUGAUGAAAUGAGGCUGCAGUGUGCUUGGGUUGGGGCCUGUCUCUAGCUUCUCUGCAGAGGACUUCACUCCUCUCCUCGAGUGGCCUGUGAGUGCCAGGCUUGUCAGGCUCUCAAGACUCGAAUGUAUGACAGGCGAGUCUCUGACCGGAGAAUCUUCAUUUGUAACAAGUGGUUUGAACUACACUUGGAGCCCUAACUGGGACGGUGAUGCACACGGGGGACUCUGCUCCAGGAAUCUGCAUUUUUAGCAAACUACCCAGGGGCACCAAAAGGACAAUCGAAGGAAAGUGACUGUGUGCAAGGGAUGCAGUCAGACAAACAUGAGAAUCUGGGAUCUUCCAGGGGCCUAUGGAACCUGUCAGCAGGAAGGAAUCCAGGCCAGCCUUCCGAAUGCAUCUUCUCACCGUUUCAUUUUCUCUCCAUUCAGGGCAGUGGUAGACAUGACUUUAAUCCUUAGUACCAAAAACGUUAAGAGCACGAACUCUCCCGUGAAGGCAUUAAAGUUGUGCUGUCUUCUCUCCUUCCAGUGGUCUUUGUGCAGGGCCCAUUUUUCAUAGCUUCUCCGUCUUGCUUGUACUUCUGCUUCCUCCUCUUUUCACCCAGACAGAUGGAGAGGCAGCCCAACCUCUGAGAAGCUAGUCUUACUCCCCUCCAGGCAACAGCUGCUUCCACCAAACAGCCCUGCGAAUGUCAGCUUCAGACCCAUACAUCUUCAAGAGAAGUUGGUCCCGAACCAGAAGUCACAGCUGAGUCACCAGCAGCAAUGCAGGGAUCAAAGAUACUCUGGCCACCCCUUGGCUUUUCCAACCUCAGGAC